CCUUCCAUUGAGAGACUUUCCCUCAGGAGUUUAGCGCUCCCGCGCUUCUCAAAAAGCAAUUCCCGCGCAUCUCGUGCGUGUGAAAAAUACGAGCGGAGGUGGGGGGAAAGGGGGUUAGGUUGCAAAGCGCGGCAACCCAUAAAACCACAUCCUCGGGAGCAAGACAGCCACCCACUCACUCACCCCCGGAAACAGGGAGAUCUCCGUCCCGUGGAUAGGGCAAGUCUCUCUGAAUUCCGAAUUAAAAGGAAUUUGGAGGCUAAAAGAAUAUAAAGAACAGUUGCUGGAAUUGGGUAUGUCUAGUUUAAUGAAAAGAAGGACGAGGGGUGACGCGAUAGCAGUCUUCCAGUACUUAACCGGCUGUCCCAAAGAAGAAGAGGUCAAGCUAAUUCUCCAAAGCCCCUGAAGGCAGGACAAGAAGCAACGCAUGGAAACCCUAACAAGGGAAGAACCAACCUAGAACUAAAGGAGAAGUUUCCCGACGGUUAGAACAAUUAAUCAGUGGAAUGACUUGCCUCCAGAAAUUGUGAAUGCUCCAACACUGGAGGUUUUUUAAGAAGAGAUUGGACAACCAUUUGUCUGAAAUGGUAAAUGGUUUCCUGCCUGAACAGCGGGGUUGGACUAGAAGAUCUCCAAGGUCCCUUGCAACUGUUGUUCUGUUUAUUAAACCCGUCUCAGGAGAGGCUGCAAAUGUUAACGUUUAGCAGUCCGGUUUGCAACGCUGGGGCCACCCGGUCCUGCCUUUAAUUCCCGCUUCGGGCGUGGGCGGCGUGUACAAGCCAGCCUUCCACCUCCUCCUCUCUUCUCCCCCCCCACCCCCACUUCCAGCCGCGUCUCCUUUCCUCGACUUUUUCUGCCUUCUCCGUUUCCCACCGCCGCCUCGUCGGGGGAGACCAUCCGGGAGCGCCGCUUUGCAGAAGAAUAACCUUUGCCAAAAGGUUCCGCCGUCCGCAGCUGGAUUGAGAUUGCGGCGCUCACCAGCUACCCGCGGGAGCCGUUCCCCUCUUGUCCCGCCUCGGGCUGGGCGGCGGCGGCGGCGGUGGCGGUGGUGGCGGCGCUUGAAUGACCGGACGCGAACAAGGCGCGCGGCAAAGCUUAAGAGCGGGGAAGGCGGCGCGAGCCGGAGCUGCAGCUGUUUGGCAAUCCCGUUUCCUCUUCGGCCUAGCGGCUGCAAGCAAAACCUCCAGCCCUGCAAGGAGGACCGGCACCUCACUAUCCUUUGACGAGAUAGGGGGAGACGCGCUCCGUUUUCCCUUCAGGAAAAAAGAGACGGACGACGACUCCCGUGUUGCAGCAGCAGCGGAGUUAGGAGGAAAAUCCUCGGUUUUUCUGCGGGACACCUGUCCCUCAAGGCGGGUUACAUCGGUUCCAGGUCUCAGAUGGAAGCUUCCCUGAAGAACUGGGAAACCAGAGAAUAUUUUAUUCCAUGCUGCUGAUUAAAGUACACAACAUUGCUGCAGGAGGAUGUCAACAGUAGGGCUUUGUAAAGCAGUGUACCUUAACGAGCAAUGACUUCCUCUUUCUGUUCCAUUGUUACUGCUGCAAUUGCAGUCUUAGGCUCACUUAACUUUGGAGUGAGUGCUGUUGUACACUGUAGAUAUUAUUUUUAAGCAAAUGUGCCUAGUUCACAACAGAAGUUCCCCCUUGCCCUACCCUAGUUGUUCCACAUGAUAAAGUAUAUGGGACUGUAGUUGGUGCCUGUUUCACCUUUGUGGUUUGCUUGUUUGUUUACUGUGGGGGUUUUUUUUUUCAUUCAUUUUAUGCACUUUGAACAUUGUAGUUGCUGAGAGGAGCACCACCAUGUGGAGGAGAAUUUUUGUGGUGGAAAUGUUAAUUUUGAACAUUCACUAGACUGCAGAGACAGAUAAGAUUAAUUUAUUUCACUGCAAAUGAAAACGUCCCUUAAAGUGAAACUGUACAAAAUAAAAGCAAAUUGUUUUAGUGGCAUCUCUUCUUCCAUACCUUUUGUUUUAUAUUCAGUGACAGAUAAAGGAUUACAAAUAUGUAUCAUGGGGACUGCAGAUUUCAGUACAUGGCUGCCAUAUUCUGGUUCCUUAAUAUGUUGCUUAUAGUAAUAAUGAGCCCAUAACAUGUUCCUGGGUGAUUCUUUUAAUUAAAAAUGGAAAUGGAAAGCCAACAUACUACAGAGUAAAAUAACUUUAUAUUUCAGUGAUCUGUGGGACCCAGAGGCAUACUCAGAAAAUCAAAUAGCCAGUGACUAGAGCCAAUCACGAUGUUUCUCUUUUGGCAAAGGGGUGCUUCAUCAUGGCUUGAAUGACCAUCAUGAUCAUAAAACAUUUUCUGGCAAUGAACUUGGACAUGCUCUUAAAAUUCCAGGUCUGCUCAUUGACUCAAAAGAUCGGGGUCCUUUGUUCUUUAAAUUAUGCUGUAAAGGAAGAGUUGGGUAACCUGUUUUGGAUUGUAGAUGCUCCAUUGUGGGUAGUGUGCAAAAACCUGAAUUUAAGAAACCAAUUGAGCCAAAGGAAAAUGGGCAAAGCCAGAAGGAAAAAGAUGGAUAAGGGAACAGCAAACAAGGAUAUAAAUAUUUAAUAAAUAAAGUACUGUACAUGAAUAAAAGCAACGGCCAUCCCAAGGGGUCCAGAAGAUGAACAUGAUAAUCCAUCCAUAUACUUGCCAGCCUUGGACAGUAUUUUUUCUUCAAACAUAAGUUAACUUGAGUUUGUAUUUUGUUUUGCUCAACUCAGUUUGUCCUCAAAUGAGGCAUUGGAACAGAAUGUCAAGUUUAAAUAGUUAAGAGUUCAAUUGUAAGAUACUUCUGAAGUUUAAUUUUACUUGAAUGCUUUACAUAACUACGGUAGUAAACACCUGUCAGUGUAUAUAUUUUUCAUUUAUCUUUUUUCAAACCCAGAUUCAGAUCUUAAUUCUUUUAUUUCUUUGAACUAUACAAUCUAACCUGUAUGAGAUUAGAUCAAAAUUAAAUGUAUAUUGCCUUUU